rnacentral:tmRNA from 1 species
GGGGACGAUUUUGGUUUCGACUGCAAUAGCGGUUUUACAGCUGCAUGCCGAGUGUGCUGUCAACUCGUGAAACAUGGCAGGCCUAACGUAAGUGCAAACGAUAAUUUUGCAUUGGCAGCUUAAUUAACUGCCACGCUUUCAGACCGCCUGCUCCUCUGGGGCAACUGGAAGUGUCAUAAACAGGGGAUAGCCCGAUUUCUCAGAUCCCGGAAUAAGGGCGAACCAACAGGGAACUCGGAUAUUUCUAACGGUGCCGGCCCCCGGUGGGAUAUCUUAAAUUAAACGGGCUGGACAAGCAUGUAGAGGCUGUACGGCUGGAUUGUAGGACGCGGGUUCGACUCCCGCCGUCUCCACAU